UGGCUCGUUACAGAACAGGUGUGCUGAC
rnacentral:piRNA from 1 species